UACAGGGGGGGCAAGCGUUGUUCGGAAUUACUGGGCGUAAAGGGCUCGUAGGCGGCCAACUAAGUCGGAUGUGAAAUCCCCAGGCUUAACCUGGGAACUGCAUCCGAUACUGGAUGGCUUGAAUCCGGGAGAGGGAUGCAGAAUUCCAGGUGUAGCGGUGAAAUGCGUAGAUAUCUGGAGGAAUACCGGUGGCGAAGGCGGCAUCCUGGACCGGCAUUGACGCUGAGUGAGCGAAAGCCAGGGGAGCAAACGGG
rnacentral:rRNA from 1 species